GAAAACCCAGGUUGCUGUAGCGGGUGCUUUUCAUCCAAGCUUUCAGAGACAUCACGUCAGUUGGGUUUUGUAAAUAUUUCAACAGUGUUUUGAAGUUCCAAUGAAAACAGAGAAAACCUUUGAUGUCUACAGACCCUUUAUCCCGUUGUACACCUCACCCCAUGCUUCUCAGCAACGUUGUUUAGACAGUGUUCACUGAGGCCAAAGGGAUGCAAGGUGCAAAAUCUUGGGCCCACUGAAGUCAACAGCAAACUUCUCCCUGGUUACCCUGGUGAGGCCAGACUCACACUGAAAAUGAGCCCCUGUUUCAGCACUGGGACCUGCUCAGCCAUUCUUCAUGGGACCACUGUCACUGAGCGAGGACUCAUCAGUCUGCUCUUCUCUCAGGCUCAGAGAUUUCAUGGCUCCUGGCAGCCCACCAGACUCUGGGGGAAGAAGAAGGACGACAUGUGUGUGAUGAAAAGGAUGAAAGCUUUAUACAAUCAGCUCUAUUUUCCUUUCCUAGUAUGGGUGCUUGCUUAUCACUGUAGUUUUCGUGAAAGAUCAAAAAAUAAAGUCUUCCUGGCUUUGGAGCAGUAAAAAGUAUAUCUUAUUGCAGAAUUGUGAGACCAUAGUUAAUGCAAGUCCCAUUAUUUUGGUUCUUUGACA